ACGAGAGAUCGAGUAACUGGCGUGGAGUUAAUCGAGUUAAUCCGGAGAUACUGCGAUAUUAGGAUAAUCCUCCUGAAACGGAGAAUUAUUACGUCGGAUAACGAUACAUUCGUCAACCUUCCGUUUAUCCUUACCACUUACACGGUCUGAGACUAACAAGGAACGCUUUUGGACACUUCUGGCACAAGGAUGCGGGCAAUGAUGCAACUCGGGGAGAAAACAGAGGGAAAAGAAAUUUGCUCGUAAGGAAAGAGAGGUCAAGGCUUUUCUCCGUGUCGAUGCGGCGCGGCAACAAUUAAGAAGCACCUCGUCCGGCUCGUUAUCCCGCACUUCUCGGGCUCCGAGAUUCACCCAGGCAAAAAGCACUUUCACGAAACGAAGGUCUGGUUGCGAAAUCGAUCGAGGUUUCAUCGACGGGCUGGCAAGCUCGCGAGGAUGGCUGGCCGAGACGCGCGAAACUCGUGGAAACAACGAGACACGGGGGAACGAGCGCGUUUUGCAACGCGGAAAUCGACACGGCUGGAAAAUUGACAGCGUCAUUUUCGUCGAGGCGCUUGACACGAAGUAAAAGCAGUUUCGAGCAAAUUCUAGCCGCAGAGAAUAAGCGAGAUGCACGAGAAAGUAAAGCGGACACUUUUUCAACGCAUGACUGACGAGGAAAGAAUAGCUACUCGAAGAUAUCGAUCGCACUGGACACGAGGAACGCGCCGAACCGAGAGAAAACUAGGCGACUCACCUGGCUC